rnacentral:rRNA from 1 species
UACGAAGGGGGCUAGCGUUGUUCGGAAUUACUGGGCGUAAAGGGCGCGUAGGCGGUGUGUCAAGUCAGGCGUGAAAGCCCCGGGCUCAACCUGGGAACAGCGCUUGAGACUGGCACGCUCGAGUUCGGGAGAGGAUGGUGGAAUUCCCAGUGUAGAGGUGAAAUUCGUAGAUAUUAGGAAGAACACCAGUGGCGAAGGCGGCUCACUGGCCCGGUACUGACGCUGAGGCGCGAAAGCGUGGGGAGCAAACAGG